CUGAGGGAUCUCAUGAGAUUCCUCUAUGGAAUCCCGGGAAUACAGAGGACGGGCCUGAGGGAUCUCAUGAUGUUCCUGAAGGAUCUCCUGAU